rnacentral:rRNA from 1 species
CCUACGGGCGGCAGCAGUGAGGAAUAUUGGUCAAUGGACGAGAGUCUGAACCAGCCAAGUAGCGUGAAGGAUGACUGCCCUAUGGGUUGUAAACUUCUUUUAUAUGGGAAUAAAAUGUUCCCCGUGUGGGAUUUUGUAUGUACCAUAUGAAUAAGGAUCGGCUAACUUCGUGUCAGCAGCCGCGGUAAUUUGGAGGAUCCGAGCGUUAUCCGGAUUUAGUGGGUUUAAAGGGAGCGUAGGUGGAUUGUUAAGUCAGGUGUGAAAGUUUGCGGCGCAACCGUAAAAUUGCAGUUGAAACUGGCAGUCUUGAGUACAGUAGAGGUGGGCGGAAUUCGUGGUGUAGCGGUGAAAUGCUUAGAUAUCACGAAGAACUCCGAUUGCGAAGGCAGCUCACUGGACUGCAACUGACACUGAGGCUCGAAAGUGUGGGUAUCAAACAGGAUUAGAUACCCCAGUAGUC